rnacentral:rRNA from 1 species
CGCGGCCUAUCAGCUUGUUGGUGAGGUAACGGCUCACCAAGGCAAUGACGGGUAGCUGGUCUGAGAGGACGAUCAGCCACACUGGAACUGAGAUACGGUCCAGACUCCUACGGGAGGCAGCAGGAGGGAAUCUUGCGCAAUGGGCGAAAGCCUGACGCAGCGACGCCGCGUGGGGGAUGAAUGCCUUAGGGUUGUAAACCCCUUUCACGAGGGAAGAAACUGACGGUACCUCGAGAAGAAGCCCCGGCCAACUACGUGCCAGCAGCCGCGGUAAUACGUAGGGGGCGAGCGUUGUCCGGAUUUAUUGGGCGUAAAGGGCUCGUAGGCGGCUUGGCAAGUCGGCCGUGAAAACCCAGGGCUCAACCCUGGGACGCCGGUCGAUACUGCCAUGGCUAGGGUCCGGUAGAGGGGAAUGGAAUUCCCGGUGUAGCGGUGAAAUGCGCAGAUAUCGGGAGGAACACCAGUAGCGAAGGCGGUUCCCUGGGCCGGCACCGACGCUGAGGAGCGAAAGCGUGGGGAGCAAACAGGAUUAGAUACCCUGGUAGUCCACGCCGUAAACGUUGGGUACUAGGCGUGGCGUCUUAUCAACGGAUGCCGUGCUCGAAGCUAACGCGUUAAGUACCCCGCCUGGGGAGUACGG